GCAACUUUAGUUUAUGUUUAGAAUAAUAGUUUGUCUUGCUAUAGGGGGUGUAUACCAAGUUGCU
rnacentral:tRNA from 1 species